rnacentral:lncRNA from 1 species
AUGAGCGGCACCCCUUUCUCCGUCUGGUCGCGCGCACCUCAGCGCCUCGGUGCUUGGGCUCAGCAAUAUUCUCCCCUGCUUCCAAUCCAGGCUGCCCCUCGCUUAUUUCCUCGGUCGGUUUUACGUCCGAGCCCGCCCCGGGACCACGGACAGCUUUUGGUGGCGCGCGGUGCUGGCGUGGAGCGGCUCCGGGGUCACGCCUGGCGGCACGCGACCAGCUUUCCUAGUAGCUGUUUAACGGGCUCUUCCAACCUGCCUGUCCUGUCCCGGGCGACCGAGCUCCUUCACGUCGCGGUGCCUCAGGGCUCCGGGCGCCCCGCCGCGCGCUGCAGGUACAGCAGUUGUUUAAUAGCGACUUUGGGGAAGUUUUCAGUAUCCAGUCUCCUCAUAAGGAAGAAAGAAGGUUUCUGGAGGACUGAAUCAUGAGUCGCGCUGCCGCUAAAGCUCCGCUUCCAAAAAGAAAGCACGUGAGGACAUUGUGCAUCUAAUCGUUACCGAUGAUGGGGAGGGGCUGAGAGAGCUGGGGCUCUUCAGCCUGGAGAAGAGAAGGCUCUGGGGGGGGACCUGAUAGCAGCUUGCCAGUACCUGAAGGAGGCCUGCAGGAAAGCUGGGGAGGGACUUUUGAUAAGGGCAGGUAGUGACACGCCGAGAAGAAAUGGCUUUAGACUGGACGAGGGUAGAAUGAGACUAGGU